UAACGGUGCUAAUUAAUUUUUCCAACAU
rnacentral:piRNA from 1 species